UGCUGGUCAUUCUUCUCCU
rnacentral:snRNA from 1 species